UCGACGAUGAGGACGCUAGCGGAGAACCGCUGCUACAAAUCCUCACGCUCGCCUCCACCAGUCACAUGGUCUCCAGUCAUCAAGACACCCCCACCCUCCUCGACUGCUGCUGGUGCUGCCGGCACCACUAUUCUUCCUCUCGAUCCGGUUCCGGCGAGGAACCCAUCACCGCGCCGACCAGUCCAAGGAACUCACAUCACCUCCAUCAAGGAAAACAAUGACCUAUGUGAUUACAAAUAUGUGCUUGCUUCUUCAUGAAGAGCCAAAAAAGAAGUAUAGACGUUGAUGCAAAUGUAUGGAGCACGGUCACCAACAGAUCCACACAUUUGGUCAGUGAUGAAUCAAUGCAACCUAUUGUGGGAGGGGAGGAUAUUUGAUCUGAGUAUGUCAGAGAGGAGGAGCAAGACGGAAUUAAUAAGGCAAGAAUUGUUUCCCUUUUAGUUUGGAUCUCUGUUGCUUCAUGAUGAUAUUAUCUAACUGAUGAAAAGGGAACAUUGUACGUGACUGAUGAAAGAGUUGUUUCGCCUCACCAGGCAAGAAACUUUUGACCCAUCCCUGCAAUGUAUUUUCAUAGUGCCCUUGUAUAAGUAAAUGGAAGGAAUUCUAAAUGAUGAAGAGUGUCUUAUUGCAUUAGUUUUUUAUAUCUGCAGAGUGAGCACAUGACUUUCUUCCCUGCCUUUACUUACUAAUGAAAAAUAAACAUCAAUGCAUGUUAUCUUUACUAAAUUAAUAACACUAAGUAGGAAUUCAGAAUAAUAACAUAUUAAUAACAACGGGUAGGAAUUCUGAAUAAAAAUAGUGCAUGAGAAAUAUGGCAUGCACCUUAACAUAGAAAUGUUCUUUUUAAUUGCUCAUAUGUUAAUGUUGCAAAUGUUCUUUUCUUGUUCUCUUAAUAAUGGUUUUAGACGGAGAGCUGCGCCCAUGUUGUAUGCCAGCAUUGGUCCUUAGAUUAGUCAAUUUUUAUUGCAGCAUAUGUUAUCUAUAGAUUUUUUUAGAAUGUCUAUGAAGUUUCAUCUGCAAGCUUUUGAUCCUAAUGGCUACAUCCUUAUAAGGUUAUUUCUUGUUUGUAAGAUGAAUAGUACCUAUGUCAAGACUCAAGACUCAAGAGAAGCAAGAGUGCAUAGCAGUAGCAGUUGUUCAACCAAGGUAAUCACUUGAACCGAAUAUUUCUAAAUUAUAAUUAAAAGAGGACAGGUUCUUACAAAUCUAACAUAUUCCUUUUGAUUCUUGAUCUUGUUUCAUAUAUAGCUUAGACGUAGCAUGUCAUGUAUGAAUUUACUUCCACUGGGUGGAAGCAUUUUAUGCUCUUACCUUUGUGCUUUUAAGACUUUUCAUUUUAGCUUUAUUAGUCAGGACGUGCAUUGCAUGUACACGAUUAACAGGUACAAAAUGCCAAACUGGUAAAAGCGCAUUUUAUUAUCAAUUUAGUCCACAUGGUUUGUGCAACAUUUGCAUGUAAGAGUAGAUUUGCAUGUGUUCUUAUUUUUUAUGGCUAAUUAGCUAAACACAAUUGCUACAUAGUGGUUCCACUUGCUGACAACGGUGAGGUGCAAUGGAGAUUGCCCUAAGAUACACAAAUAUAUUGCUGAAUUUAGCAAAGUUGUCUCGAGCUAACUCUUCUAACUUCUACAAUAGCCAAUAUACAUGGCAUGUUGUUCUCCAGACAGAGAUCAAUUCAUUUUUUACUGUCAUUGUCUACUGCUUCCGAGAUAAGCACAUGCUGACUUUUAUAUUAUCAUUCUAGAUGUAUCUUGUGUUACAAGUUGUCAGAUCAUUGUUGAUGCUGAUACAUCACUAUGACUUUUGAAGAUGCUCUUAUCCCUUUUGUUUCAACAUGUCUUCUUUGCUUUGAAUUAAUCUUGUGUGAAUUCAAAGCCAACACAAAGUGCCAUUUUUUUUUGUUCUAACAUGUCUUCUUUAUACUCCCUCUGUAAAAGGCUUUUAUAUUUCUUUACGGAGGAAGUAUUUGUAAAAGGCACAUUACAUAUUUUUUAAAUUUGAUGUGACUAACUGAGCUUGCAUAAUUCAGUUCAUCAUAGAUUAUCCAAUGUGACGUAGUAAAAGGCACAUUACAUAUUUUUAAAUUUGACGUGACUAACUGAGCUUGCAUAAUUCAGUUCAUCAUAGUUUAUCAAAUGUGACAUAGACAAUAGAAUAUAGAUGGCUUAGAAGGGUUCUAUGAGCAAGGAUUUUCUUUGGGCGGAGACGCGCAUUGCAUGUGCAAGUUUACUAGUAAUAUAAAACAAAACAACUGACUGCAAUAAUCUGGUAGGAAAAAAGGAAUUAGUCUCACAUGUAUACAAUCAUCAUGCUUAAUCCCACAUGUGAAGAAUGGGCGCGAUGAAGCUCGCAUUAGCCUCUAGUCA